rnacentral:lncRNA from 1 species
GUUUGAAAGAAACGCCCUCAAAAUGCACUCAGCUUUUGGAUUUGGCAGCAUUUGGGUCUGGGUAUACUGCCUUCAUCUGAAUCACUGUGGCUGUGCUGAAGAAGAAAGGGAGCUGGAUGGAUGUUAUAGAUGGAUGACGGUGAAUCAGUGGAUGCGUCACUAUGGAGGUUUGGUGAUUUGAACUGAAAACACAAGAUGCACAUUCCAUCUCACUGUCCGUUUGUCUUACUCAUGGGAUUGAAGGAUGCAUGUGAACAUGACUCACACACUGUUGGCAAUGAAGGGAACAUGAUCUUAUUAGUCAUGAUUAUAGCAACGGUUCUUACAGCACAGGCGCACCC